GAUGAACGCUAGCGGCAGGCUUAAUACAUGCAAGUCGAGGGGCAGCACGGUUAGCAAUAACUGGUGGCGACCGGCGCACGGGUGCGUAACACGUAUACAAUCUACCUUAAACAGGGGGAUAGCCUUUCGAAAGAGAGAUUAAUACCCCGUAAUAAAUUGAACGGCAUCGUUUGAUUUUGAAAGCUCCGGCGGUUUGAGAUGAGUAUGCGUCUGAUUAGCUAGUUGGUGAGGUAACGGCUCACCAAGGCGACGAUCAGUAGGGGAUCUGAGAGGACUAACCCCCCACACUGGUACUGAGACACGGACCAGACUCCUACGGGAGGCAGCAGUAAGGAAUAUUGGUCAAUGGAGGCAACUCUGAACCAGCCCAAUGCCCGCGUGCAGGAUGACGGCCCUAUGGGUUGUAACUGCUUUUGAUGGGGAACAAAUGCCACUUGCGAGUGGAGCUGAGUGUACCUAUAGAAUAAGCACCGGCUAACUCCGUGCCAGCAGCCGCGGUAAU
rnacentral:rRNA from 1 species